CAAGUGAGAUAAAGCUGGUCACAUGUCUUUUGGGAAUGCCUUGUCUUGAGAUGAUACCACUAAAGUGCUUUGUGCUAGAAAUAUCCCCUUAUCGUUGGCAGGCAAGGUUGUUUCUCUGGGUGUGACAUUUCUUUGUGGCCUGCUGGAAGCUGUCUUCAUUGUCCUGGACAUUGUGAAAGGCUGAAGCAAAGAGCUGGACCACCUGCAAUAGCUGCAUAUAAAUGGGAAUACCUCACCUAUUUACUGAAAUAUUUUUGCAGAAAAUUCUUCAGGAGCAAUUGGUCCCAUAUCCAUCUAGUAUAUCAAUUAAAUACAAAAAAAUCAGGAAAAUGAAUUCGAUUUAUCGUCCCUUGGCACAAGAAUACAAAAGGCAAGAAAAUGAGACAAAGACAAUAUGUUCUUCUGGGCUUAGAGGGAGUCAGUAAAUUGGAGUUCCAGUAGAAUGUGGACCCCUGAUUAUGUGACCUGCACACCAAGUUUCCUUGAAGCCCCUCUAAUUCUGGAGCUAUGUUGUGCCAGGACUGUCACCUCAGUGGAAAUCUUCAACUGCAAUCAUCAAGGAGAAAAGCACUGGGAAGAAUUUUAGCCCAUUGUUCAGAACCCAGAAUUUGAGUAAAAAUCUCGGUAGGGAAAAGAACUUGAGAAAGCCAUCUGUGGCUCCCAAGUAUGUUUACUCGAUGAAGAAAAAACAUAUUAAGUCAUUUCAAGUCUGUCAAAGAUCAAAGAGCAAUUAAACAAAAUGAGCUGGCAAAACUUCAAAAUCUGCAUCGGAUCAAGUCCCAAGUACUGAAUACCAAAAUUACUGGGCUGGCCUCCAACUCACUCUGCAUCCAAGGCUGGUCUCCACCUCGCAGUGAUCCUCCUGCUUCAGCCUCCUGAGUUCUGGGAUUGUAGUCGUUCUUGUAAGAGCCAUGUCAGCAAUGGCCGUCUGUACACUGGAGAGUGGAGGAUCCAGUAUGUACUCCACUAAGAAAACCAAAGUUAAAGUGAAAGAAGAAUUAAGACUCAGAGCCAGUCCAAGUGUGAAGG